UCAAAAAAGAAAAACCCCCAAAAAAUAGCGUAGGAGUAUAUUCUAUUUUCCUAAAUUCCUUGUUUUUUCCUCUGCUUUUCAAACUCCCCUGAACUUGCCGGCGUUUUUCUACUGCGUCUGAAAAAUAUUCAGAUCACUAGCUGUAAAAUUAACUCCCCUAAUUUUGUCUCUCUCUGGAUUUACGAUGUUUACGUGUGUUUCUCUCUCACACACAUAAAUACACGCACUCGUUUAUUCACGCCACCACUUAAUUGCGGAUUUGCCUGUGUUAAUUGCUGAAUUGUGAAGAUUUUGGCACGGGCGCCACUAAUAGAUGUCAAACCCGAAGGUGGUUUAUGAAGGAUGAAUGGUGAGAUAUGGGCGUCGGAAGAUUGGAAGAUCAUUUAUUCAUAUGCGAUAUUUUGUGCUUGAGUCUAGGUUGUUGGCGUAUUACAAGAGAAGCCCCAAGGCAAUGUGGUAAAUUUAUUUUCUGACGAGUAUUUGCCCCUCGUAUCUAAUAUUCAUAGUGAUAUGGUUUUCCUCUUCCUCCACCAACAAGGAGCAUAUGUUAAUAAUUCAUUUAAGAUGGCUGCAGUUCAAAUUCUAAAAGAAAUCCUACUGCCUAGCUGACACAGAUUGGAGCUAACCAAUUUUCUCUAUUUUACAGGGAAACUAUUUGCCAUUUCUAUUGAUUACAAUCAUACUGAACUUAUUUUUGUAUUGCUUGUCCUGCUUAUGCGCUAAGGUGCCUACCAAGACACUUGUUAUAGAUGGCAACUGUAGGGUGGAGGACCUAGGACUGAAAACUCAUAAUGGACAUAUGGUGUAUGUUCUGUCUAUUUACAACAAGAAAGAGAAAUAUAAUCGAAUUACGCAUCAAGAAUCUCAAGCUACUAAUGGUAACAAAUACCUUUCGUUCGAAUAUAAAUCGGGUGUAGAUAAUGGGAGGAAUGCUUCAUCAUCAGAGCAUGAUAGUCAGUAUAGUGCUGCAGAAGAUGAAGACGAUUCUCAUCAAAGUUGUCUGUGUUGUGUCGUUUGGAAUGCUGCUGUCCAAGCCUAUACUUCUGCACCCAAGAAGAAUCGAUUAAAAUGACAAACGAAGUUCGUGUAACGAGUGACUAAUUUACCUGUAAAUGGCUCUUUAAGUGAUACAAUGUGAGUCCCUUGAGCCCCAUCACCCUCAGAACUGAUUUUGGAGUAGCCUCUGAAAACAGCAUCCACUUUCAUUAAACCAACAAAUUACUGUAUUUGUAUAUUGCUUUAAA